AUACGAAGGGGGCAAGCGUUGUUCGGAAUAACUGGGCGUAAAGCGCACGUAGGCGGAAUGUUAAGUUAGAGGUGAAAUCCCAGGGCUCAACCCUGGAACUGCCUUUAAUACUGGCAAUCUAGAGACCGAGAGAGGUGAGUGGAAUUCCGAGUGUAGAGGUGAAAUUCGUAGAUAUUCGGAGGAACACCAGUGGCGAAGGCGGCUCACUGGCUCGGUACUGACACUGAGUGUGCGAAAGCUAGGGGAGCAAACGGGAUUAGAUACCCGCGUAGUCC
rnacentral:rRNA from 1 species